rnacentral:miRNA from 1 species
GGACUGACUUCCUUAGGAUCUUGUGAAAUGCAGAUUCCAACCCAGAGAAAGACAUCAGAUUCUGCGUUUCUAACAAGUUCCCAGGAGAUUCUGGU